rnacentral:rRNA from 1 species
GAGUUUGAUCCUGGCUCAGGAUGAACGCUAGCUACAGGCUUAACACAUGCAAGUCGAGGGGCAGCAUCAUCAAAGCUUGCUUUGAUGGAUGGCGACCGGCGCACGGGUGAGUAACACGUAUCCAACCUGCCGACAACACUGGGAUAGCCUUUCGAAAGAAAGAUUAAUACCGGAUGGUAUAGUUUUCCCGCAUGGGAUGAUUAUUAAAGAAUUUCGGUUGUCGAUGGGGAUGCGUUCCAUUAGGCAGUUGGCGG